UAGACACUUUUCUCUUUUGUC
rnacentral:siRNA from 1 species